CCUACGGGCGGCUGCAGUGAGGAAUAUUGGUCAAUGGACGAGAGUCUGAACCAGCCAAGUAGCGUGAAGGAUGACUGCCCUAUGGGUUGUAAACUUCUUUUAUAAAGGAAUAAAACGAGGCACGUGUGCCUUUUUGUAUGUACUUUAUGAAUAAGGAUCGGCUAACUCCGUGCCAGCAGCCGCGGUAAUACGGAGGAUCCGAGCGUUAUCCGGAUUUAUUGGGUUUAAAGGGAGCGUAGAUGGGUUGUUAAGUCAGUUGUGAAAGUUUGCGGCUCAACCGUAAAAUUGCAAUUGAUACUGGCAGUCUUGAGUACAGUUGAGGUAGGCGGAAUUCGUGGUGUAGCGGUGAAAUGCUUAGAUAUCACGAAGAACCCCGAUUGCGAAGGCAGCUUACUAAACUGUGACUGACAUUGAUGCUCGAAAGUGUGGGUAUCAAACAGGAUUAGAUACCCGUGUAGUC
rnacentral:rRNA from 1 species